UGAGUACGAGCUGCUACGGCAGCGAAGUGGGUGAUGUCAAGCUUCCAAGAAAAGCCCUAUACCCGUUAAGGCAUGACGGCCUGUACCCGAAACCGACACAGGUGGGGUGGUAGAGAAUACCGAGGGGCGCGAGAUAACUCUCUCUAAGGAACUCGGCAAAAUGGCCCCGUAACUUCGGGAGAAGGGGUGCCACCGCAAGGUGGUCGCAGUGAAGAGGCCCAGGCGACUGUUUACCAAAAACACAGGUCUCCGCUAAGUCGCAAGACGAUGUAUGGGGGCUGACGCCUGCCCAGUGCCGGAAGGUUAAGGAAGCUGGUCAGCGCAAGCGAAGCUAGCGACUGAAGCCCCGGUGAACGGCGGCCGUAACUAUAACGGUCCUAAGGUAGCGAAAUUCCUUGUCGGGUAAGUUCCGACCCGCACGGAAGGCGUAACGAUCUGGGCGCUGUCUCGGAGAGAGGCUCGGCGAAAUAGAAUUGUCUGUGAAGAUGCGGACUACGUGCACCCGGACAGAAAGACCCUAUGAAGCUUUACUGUAGCUUGGUAUUGUGCCCGGGCUCUGAAUGCGCAGGAUAGGUGGGAGGCUUUGAUCCAUUGCUUGUGGGUAAUGGUGAGCCACUGGUGAGAUACCACUCUUUCAGAGCUAGGGUUCUAACGGUCACCCGUUAUCCGGGGACCGGACAGUAUCAGGUGGGCAGUUUGACUGGGGCGGUCGCCUCCUAAAAGGUAACGGAGGCGCGCAAAGGUUCCCUCCGGCUGGUUGGAAAUCAGCCGACGAGUGUAAAGGCAGAAGGGAGCUUGACUGUGAGACCUACAAGUCGAACAGGGACGAAAGUCGGCCUUAGUGAUCCGACGGUUCUGAGUGGAAGGGCCGUCGCUCAACGGAUAAAAGUUACUCUAGGAUAACAGGCUAAUCUCCCCCAAGAGUUCACAUCGACGGGGAGGUUUGGCACCUCGAUGUCGGCUCAUCGCAACCUGGGGCUGAAGUCGGUCCCAAGGGUUGGGCUGUUCGCCCAUUAAAGCGGUACGCGAGCUGGGUUCAGAACGUCGUGAGACAGUUCGGUCCAUAUCCGGUGCACGCGCAGGAACAUUGAGAGGAUUUCUCCCUAGUACGAGAGGACCGGGAGGAACGCACCUCUGGUGUACCAGUUAUCGUGCCAACGGUAAACGCUGGGUAGCCUUGUGCGGAGCGGAUAACCGCUGAAAGCAUCUAAGUGGGAAGCCCACCUCAAGAUGAGUGUUCCCAUGGCAUAAGCCAGUAAGGUCACGGGAAGAACACCGUUGAUAGGCUCUACGUGGAAGCGUGGCAACACGUGAAGCGGAGGAGUACUAAUAGACCGAGGGCUUGAC
rnacentral:rRNA from 1 species